rnacentral:rRNA from 1 species
GACCAACCAAAACUCUUAUUGUAUACCCCCUCGCGGGUUUUUUUAUAAUCUGAGCCUUCUCGGCGCCUCUCGUAGGCGUUUCGAAAAUGAAUCAAAACUUUCAACAACGGAUCUCUUGGUUCUGGCAUCGAUGAAGAACGCAGCGAAAUGCGAUAAGUAAUGUGAAUUGCAGAAUUCAGUGAAUCAUCGAAUCUUUGAACGCACAUUGCGCCCGCCAGUAUUCUGGCGGGCAUGCCUGUCCGAGCGUCAUUUCAACCCUCGAACCCCUCCGGGGGGUCGGCGUUGGGGAUCGGCCCUGCCUCUUGGCGGCGGCCGUCUCCGAAAUACAGUGGCGGUCUCGCCGCAGCCUCUCCUGCGCAGUAGUUUGCACACUCGCAUCGGGAGCGCGGCGCGUCCACAGCCGUUAAACACCCAACUUCUGAAAUGUUGACCUCGGAUCAGGUAGGAAUACCCGCU